rnacentral:lncRNA from 1 species
GCUAAGGGUCAGCAGCAACACACUGCACUCCUGACUCCUGCUCUGAUACUUGCCUCACUGGAACCGUCAUCCCCUCUCAUGUGGCAAAUGCAGCUGGGUAUGUGGUCAGUGCAACCUGUACUUCUACAGCCACCAGCCUGCAGGCUGGACCCCAUUAGAGUGAGGAACGGAACCCCUGCUAGCCAGCCUCAGGUGACAAAACUGAGGCUCAGAGGCCAAUGGCCUUGUUCAAGGUCACACGCCCACUAAAUGAGAGACCCGGAGACCUGGCAUCACACGGGAAAUUUAAACAUGGAGACCCACACAGAGGGAGAAUGUCAUGCAGAGAUGAGAGCAGAGUCGGAGUGAUGCUUCCACAAGCCAAGGAACUCCAAAGAUGGCUUGCAAACCAUCAGAAUCCAGGGGAGAGGUGUGGAGCAGGUUCCCCUCAGCCCUCAGAAGGAACUGGCCCUGCCAGCACCUUGAUCUUAGACUUUCAGCCUCCAGAACUGUGAGACAAUAGCUUCUGUCAUUUAAGCCACCCAGUCUGUGGCAUUGUAUGGCCGCAGCUGUAGCAAACCCAUACAAUAAGAGAUAGAACGUGAUAGAAAAAGCUCUGAAUGUCAACCACUGUCUUCUGCCACCCCCACCCCCUCUGGCUUCAACCCACACCCCAGGCCUCCACCCAAGUGCAUUAGGCAGA